GAUGAACGCUGGCGGCGUGCCUAAUACAUGCAAGUCGAGCGAACAGACGAGGAGCUUGCUCCUCUGACGUUAGCGGCGGACGGGUGAGUAACACGUGGAUAACCUACCUAUAAGACUGGGAUAACUUCGGGAAACCGGAGCUAAUACCGGAUAAUAUAUCGAACCGCAUGGUUCAAUAGUGAAAGACGGUUUUGCUGUCACUUAUAGAUGGAUCCGCGUCGCAUUAGCUAGUUGGUAAGGUAACGGCUUACCAAGGCAACGAUGCGUAGCCGACCUGAGAGGAUGAUCAGCCACACUGGAACUGAGACACGGUCCAGACUCCUACGGGAGGCAGCAGUAGGGAAUCUUCCGCAAUGGGCGAAAGCCUGACGGAGCAACACCGCGUGAGUGAUGAAGGUCUUCGGAUCGUAAAACUCUGUUAUUAGGGAAGAACAAAAGUGUAAGUAACUAUGCACGUCUUGACGGUACCUAAUCAGAAAGCCACGGCUAACUACGUG
rnacentral:rRNA from 1 species